GCGCGAGUAGCUCAGUUGGUAGAGCAUCAGCUUCCCAAGCUGAGGGUCGCCGGUUCGAACCCGGUUUCCCGCUCCA
rnacentral:tRNA from 1 species